GCGAAAACUUUACAAUGCGGGAAACCGUGAUAAGGGAACUCCGAGUGCCCGUAAAAUCGGGCUGUCCAUCUGUUUAAAUAACAGGUGAAGAAAGGGCCGGGCAAGACCGGUGCCAGCCGCCGCGGUAAUACCGGCGGCUCGAGUGGUGGCCACUAUUACUGGGCUUAAAGCGUUCGUAGCUGGUCUGUUAAGUCUCUGGGGAAAUCUACUGGCUUAACCAAUAGGCGUUUCAGGGAUACUGGCAGACCAGGGACCGGGAGAGGUGGGAGGUACUCCAGGGGUAGGAGUGAAAUCCUGUAAUCCUUGGGGGACCACCUGUGGCGAAGGCGUCUCACCAGAACGGCUCCGACAGUGAGGGACGAAAGCUGGGGGAGCAAACCGGAUUAGAUACCCGGGUAGUCCCAGCUGUAAACGAUGCUCGCUAGGUGUCAGGUGCGGUGCGACCGCAUCUGGUGCCGUAGUGAAAACUUGAAGCGAGUCACCUGGGAAGUACGGUCGCAAGGCUGAAACU
rnacentral:rRNA from 1 species